AUUCAAAUGUUCAGGCCAACUUCAGAGAAUGCCAAGCAAGAUCCACUUCAACAGAUCAUAAUUUAUACUGGCAGCUGGACAAACAAAAGCAGAGUGACGCAUGAACCGGCUUAAGAAAAUUGCCAAUCCUCCACCAACUGCUUGUUAUAUUACUCUUAAAUGUUUCUAAAUAGGUCAGUUAGAAUAACAUUAUGUGGGCCAUAGUAAGUCAGAAGAAAAUAAAUGUCACUUUUAGCAAGUUGAACUCUUCUAAAUACCUUCACUUUGGUCCUUUUAUUUAACUAUUAACCGGCUGAGGGCAAAAAAACAAAAUUGUCAUGGUUUUGUAGUGGUCAGCAGUUUCAAUGAUUCACAUUUCAAUGUGGCCCUGUGACAGCCAUGGGUCUUUUCCAGGUGGUUUUUGGCACUACCUACAUCGCUGGUCACACAAUGUAUUUUGCCUUGGAGACUGGAAUAAUAAUAACAAUGACCAACUCAGAAAACCACAGCUUCACUCUGGCAGAGGUUCUGAGCCAAAAGCUCUGAGAUCCUGAGCUCUAGGAUGGAAAGGGGGUCCAGAAUCUCGGGUCACGCAGCCUCCCCUUCAUCGAUAUUCAAAUGACAAGCUCUUCCUAUUCAAGAUGGAGUUGCUUUGGCUCACAUGCCUCUGACAAGAUCAACAGCAGAAAUAAAGGUGAUCCACUUUCCAUCUUCUAAAGUGAGAAGCCAAGUCCUUCAGAUGCUCCGUGAGCAUUGCAGCGCCAAAGCUCUGUACAGUUCUCACCCACACUCUGCCUCCUUCUCCACUGCUGCUCUCAGUGCUGUAUCACCAAGGAGGAACUCAUCACCAAUUAUUCAUUCUUUGGGCUUGAACAAUUUUGGCUAGGAUCUUUAGCAGUCCUUAACAUGACUCAGAAUAUUUCCUGUGAAACUUUACAGGCUGAAGAAUCAUAGAUGGACUUCCUUUUCCAGGUAUAACUAAAUAAAACAUAAUCAUCAAUAUAUGCCUCUCA
rnacentral:lncRNA from 13 species